AUUGAACGCUGGCGGCAUGCCUUACACAUGCAAGUCGAACGGCAGCACGGGAGCAAUCCUGGUGGCGAGUGGCGAACGGGUGAGUAAUAUAUCGGAACGUGCCCAGUCGUGGGGGAUAACGCAGCGAAAGCUGUGCUAAUACCGCAUACGAUCUACGGAUGAAAGCGGGGGAUCGCAAGACCUCGCGCGAUUGGAGCGGCCGAUAUCAGAAUUAGCUAGUUGGUGGGGUAAAGGCCCACCAAGGCGACGAUCUGUAGCUGGUCUGAGAGGACGACCAGCCACACUGGAACUGAGGCCCGGUACGAACUCCUACGGGAGGCAGCAGUGGGGAAUUUUGGACAAUGGGCGCAAGCCUGAUCCAGCAAUGCCGCGUGCAGGAUGAAGGCCUUCGGGUUGUAAACUGCUUUUGUACGGAACGAAACGGCCCUUUCUAAUACAGGGGGCUAAUGACGGUACCGUAAGAAUAAGCACCGGCUAACUACGUGCCAGCAGCCGCCGUAA
rnacentral:rRNA from 1 species